AUUGAACGCUGGCGGCAUGCCUUACGCAUGCAAGUCGAACGGCAGCACGGGGGCAACCCUGGUGGCGAGUGGCGAACGGGUGAGUAAUGCAUCGGAACGUGCCCAGUAGUGGGGGAUAACCAGUCGAAAGACUGGCUAAUACCGCAUACGACCCAAGGGUGAAAGCGGGGGACCGUAAGGCCUCGCGCUAUUGGAGCGGCCGAUGUAUGAUUAGCUAGUUGGCGGGGUAAGAGCCCACCAAGGCGACGAUCAGUAGCUGGUCUGAGAGGACGACCAGCACACUGGGACUGAGACACGGCCCAGACUCCUACGGGAGGCAGCAGUGGGGAAUUUUGGACAAUGGGCGCAAGCCUGAUCCAGCCAUGCCGCGUGCGGGAAGAAGGCCUUCGGGUUGUAAACCGCUUUUGGCAGGAACGAAACGGCGCAGGCCAAUACCUUGCGCUAAUGACGGUACCCGCAGAAUAAGCACCGGCUAACUACGUGCCAGCCGCCGCGGUAACAC
rnacentral:rRNA from 1 species